rnacentral:rRNA from 1 species
GAUGAACGCUGGCGGCGUGCUUAACACAUGCAAGUCGAACGUGAGAGGAUAGCAAUAUUCUUGAAAGUGGCGCACGGGUGAGUAAUACGUAGGUAACCUGCCCUGGAGUGGGGGAUAACAACUAGAAAUGGUUGCUAAUACCGCAUGAAGCCAAGACACUGGGAAGUGACUUGGUAAAAACUCUGGUGCUUCAGGAGGGGCCUACGGCCGAUUAGCUAGUUGGCGGGGUAAGAGCCCACCAAGGCAGUGAUCGGUAGCUGGUCUGAGAGGACAAUCAGCCACACGGGAACUGAGACACGGUCCCGACUCCUACGGGGGGCAGCAGUGAGGAAUAUUGGGCAAUGGGCGGAAGCCUGACCCAGCAACGCCGCGUGGAGGAAGACGGCCU